rnacentral:rRNA from 1 species
UACGUAGGGUGCAAGCGUUUGUCCGGAAUUAUUGGGCGUAAAGAGCUCGUAGGCGGUCUGUCGCGUCUGCUGUGAAAACUCGGGGCUUAACCCCGGGCCUGCAGUGGGUACGGGCAGACUAGAGUGCGGUAGGGGAGACUGGAAUUCCUGGUGUAGCGGUGAAAUGCGCAGAUAUCAGGAGGAACACCGGUGGCGAAGGCAGCUCGCUGGGGACGGUACUGACGCUGAGACGCGAAAGCGUGGGGAGCAAACAGG